AGUGAACGCUGGCGGUAGGCCUAACACAUGCAAGUCGAACGGCAGCACAGUAAGUGCUUGCUCUUACGGGGGCCGAGUGGCGGGCGGUGCCGGGAUACCUCGGUAUCUACUUUUUCGAACGGCCUAACGCAGGCGAACAUACGGCAAUCCCGCAUACGACGUACGUGUGAGAGCUUGGGAUCUUAGGACCUCGCGCGAUUCGAGGUCGGAUUAGCUAGUUGGUGGGGUAAAGGCCUACCAAGGCGACGAUCCGUAACUGGUCUGAGAGGAUGAUCAGCCACACUGGAACUGAGACACGGUCCAGACUCCUACGGGAGGCAGCAGUGGGGAAUAUUGGACAAUGGGCGAAAGCCUGAUCCAGCCAUACCGCGUGUGUGAAGAAGGUCUUCGGGUUGUAAAGCACUUUUGUUGGGAAAGAAAAGCAGCAAGUUAAUACCUCGCUGUUCUGACGGUACCCAAAGAAUAAGCACCGGCUAACUUCGUG
rnacentral:rRNA from 1 species